CAGUCCCUGUAUGAAUGUGUGCGUGGGAGUUCCUCCUUUCGCCAUUCCGGGGUGUCGCCACACCACGGAGAGUACUGAGGGAGUCCUGCGAAGAGACCGCCUAGUCCCCUCCAGGCCUCUUCACACCUCUCCACACCUUCAUCCAGCCACACACGGUGCCCCGGCAUGCCCCAGAAGACAGGUAUCCGCUCAUUAUUCCCUCAGAGAACCGCCGCAGACCUCCCCAGCAACCCUGUUUGAAAGAUUACGGGGACACCGAGGGAUGCUACUGCAGCAAACGUUCCCCGCACCGCGAAAAUUCUCGACGUCUGCCCGAGGAACAGAAACAUUUGGUUGGCCCUUGACCGAAGCCCCUGAGGAUGUCCGACAGCGGUGCGAACAUGAACUCCGACGAUCGGCCGGUUAAAACGGUCCCCUUCCCCCUGAGCCACAGGCUCUCCAUGAAGGAAGUGUUUGACUGUGAGGGGAAGCCUAGAGUAGACCUGCUAAAAGCCCACCUCACCAAGGAGGGCCGUCUGGAGGAGGUGGUGGCCCUACGCAUCAUCAAUGAGGGAGCCGCCAUCCUGUGCCAGGAGAGGACCAUGCUGGAUAUAGAGGCCCCAGUCACAGUGUGUGGAGACAUCCACGGUCAGUUCUUUGACCUGAUGAAGCUGUUUGAGGUGGGCGGUUCCCCCGCGACGACACGCUACCUCUUCCUAGGGGACUACGUGGACCGGGGCUACUUCAGUAUUGAGUGUGUGUUGUAUCUGUGGUCGUUGAAAAUCCUCUACCCAAAGACGUUAUUUCUUCUACGGGGAAACCAUGAAUGUAGACACCUGACUGAGUAUUUCACUUUCAAAACUGAAUGUAAGAUAAAGUACUCUGAGCAGGUGUAUGACUCGUGUAUGGAUGCGUUUGACUGCCUGCCGCUGGCUGCUCUGAUGAACCAGCAGUUCCUGUGUGUCCAUGGAGGGCUCUCGCCAGAGAUCCACACGCUCGACGACAUCAAAAAGCUGGACAGGUUCAAGGAGCCUCCAGCUUUCGGGCCCAUGUGUGACCUGCUGUGGGCCGACCCACUCGAAGACUUUGGCAACGAGAAGACGCAAGAGUACUUCGGCCACAACACAGUCAGAGGCUGCUCUUAUUUCUACAGUUACCCUGCAGUGUGUGAGUUUCUACAGACCAACAACUUGUUGUCAGUCAUCAGAGCACAUGAAGCGCAAGAUUCUGGGUACCGGAUGUAUAGAAAGAGUCAGACUACAGGCUUUCCCUCCCUCAUCACCAUCUUCUCAGCGCCUAACUACCUGGACGUCUACAACAACAAAGCGGCGGUUCUGAAGUAUGAGAACAACGUGAUGAACAUCCGCCAGUUCAACUGUUCCCCUCAUCCCUACUGGCUGCCCAACUUCAUGGAUGUCUUCACCUGGUCCCUGCCCUUCGUUGGAGAGAAAGUGACAGAGAUGCUGGUGAAUGUUCUCAGUAUCUGUUCAGAUGAUGAGCUCAUGGAGAAUGAUGGAGAGGAAGAGGUCUAUGAUGCCAAUGCAGCGGCAGCUAGGAAAGAGGUGAUCAGGAACAAGAUCCGUGCCAUCGGGAAGAUGGCCAAAAUGUUCCAAGUUUUACGGGAGGAGAGUGAAAACGUUUUGACCCUGAAGGGACUGACACCCACUGGCAUGCUGCCCAGUGGAGUUCUGUCUGGAGGCAAGCAGACUCUGCAGAGCGGUGAGUACACACACACACUGGCAUGCUGCCCAGUGGAGUUCUGUCUGGAGGCAAGCAGACUCUGCAGAGCGGUGAGUACACACACACACUGGCAUGCUGCCCAGUGGAGUUCUGUCUGGAGGCAAGCAGACUCUGCAGAGCGGUGAGUACACACACACACUGGCAUGCUGCCCAGUGGAGUUCUGUCUGGAGGCAAGCAGACUCUGCAGAGCGGUGAGUACACACACACACUGGCAUGCUGCCCAGUGGAGUUCUGUCUGGAGGCAAGCAGACUCUGCAGAGCGCUACCAUUGAGGCCAUUGAAGCCAUUGAUCCUGUUGAGGACGCAGAAGCAAUCCGAGGCUUCUCUCCUCAACAUAAGAUCAAUAGCUUUGCGGAGGCCAAGGGUCUGGACCGGAUCAACGAGCGCAUGCCCCCUCGCCGUGACGGUGUCAACAGUGUGGGUGUCUCCAUGGGCCGCAUGAACAUGGGGGAGCCCAACGGCACAGACAACAACAGCAAUAUACAGGGAUGAUGCACACACACACACACACACACACAUUUAAACACUAUUUCAUACAUGCUCUGAAACACACACAUAGAUAUGAAGUACAUACACCAACAUACACACAUUUGACUUACACAUACUCACAAAUACACUUGAUUUAAACAUAAGGUACACACACAUACUUAUACAUACACAUAAACACAAAACAUACAGGACACACAAGUCAACAUAUACCCUUAUACAGUGAUGGUACACACACCAUCCUCCUCCUCCCCCUACCCCAUCCUGUUGCUGCCGAGCCCACCUCUCCACCAGUGUGGCAAGACUUUGCCAUGGAUGGUUGAGGCAUCCUACUGGACAAACUGUACUGCAGGCUCCAUCAUUACCUGAUCUGACCUGGUCACACACACAGGCCCCUGACCUGACCACCUGACCACACCACACUACAGAACACUCUACUGGACAUUCUAGAACACUCUACUGGACGUUCUGGAACACUCUACUGGACGUUCUGGAACACUCUACUGGACUUCUGGAACACUCUACUGGACGUUCUGGAACACUCUACUGGACGUUCUGGAACACUCUACUGGACGUUCUGGAACACUCUACUGGACGUUCUAGAACACUCUACUGGACGUUCUGGAACACUACUGGACGUUCUGGAACACUCUACUGAACAUUCUGGAACACUACUGGACGUUCUGGAACACUCUACUGGACGUUCUGGAACACUCUACUGAACGUUCUGGAACACUCCAAUGCAAAACAAAGAGCUACUGUUCUGUUCUCAUUGUGUAGUAGGGGUGACUGGGUGACAGAUGUUACCUUUCUGUUGUGUUGGCGGCAAAGGGAGAGUGGGGGGGAUUGGGGAGGGGAGGCAUGGGCUGAGAGGUCAACGGGGGCUGAGGUGGCAUGCAGGAGAGGGACUUCCUGUCCGGGAUUUUCAGUUUCCUCUUCUCAUUUUAAAACAGGAAGUUGUGUGGACAGCCCAUUUGGUGGUUUACUUCAUUCACUUUAUUUUAUAAGAUAGAUAGAGAGAUGGACUGGAUGGUUGUCGUGACGUCCAUGGGAGUUUAUUUGUGUGUGCUUGUGUCUGCAUUUGCGAUUGUGUGAGUGUAUGUGUGUCUGUGGGGGUGAAAUUUGAAUGGCAUUUUCAUAUGCAACAUACAAGGUUGUGCUAUCGAACAUGUUUUGCUACUAGUACUAUAUGAUAAUAACAGGACAUUCAAAUGAAACAUAUUAUUGAUUAACUUCAAGGAAAAGACAAUGUUGUCAGAAGGUUAAAAAUACAUUCUUAUUACCUGAGUGUUUCUCUCGAUCUUAUUUUAUAAGCCAAUAUGCUCCACUCGUCAGUUAGUCAGGACUAAGGUGUGUGACCCACCGUUAAUUCACACAGAGUUGACAGUACACUCACUACACCCCAGGCAGACGCUGCCUCUAAAGUCAGUCAGAUAAAUAAAACUGACCUUAGAUCAGUUUUAGAGGCAACGUCUGUCUAUUCCACUCUUAUGUUCUAUUGCUGCCAAAACUGAUCUUAUUUCACUUUUAAGGGCAACUUUUUACCACUUUUUCCUAUUCCACUUGCUGGGACUAGCUACACGUUUUAUGUUCUAUUGCUGCCAAGUCAAUCAUAGAAAUAGAAAGCAUAGAAUGGACACCUGUAUCAGAGAUUGAAAUGUAGAAAUAACUAUGACAGAUUGGCUGUUUUGCUGGCAUGCAAUCAGAAUCAGCAAUGAGUGAAGUCCAUUCCAUGGGUUCCAUUUCUACGGUGUCCUCUUAAUGUGCUGUCCAGUAGCCUAUAACCUGAGCUGGCUGCACUGGAGUAAGUUCCUAUAGUGUAUAUGCUGUUGUGUUCUACCUUGAAAAUGAAAUGAAGUGUUUUUGGCUGAGUGUGAGCAGUGACUAACAGAAGUCAACAGAAGGUUAUUUAUUUGUAAAGCAUUUAUAAACGCAUCAAUGCAUGCAGUUAAGUUAUUUGAUAAUAAUAAUGUGAAAUUCAAUUUGUGCCGUGUUUCAGUAUGGUAAGUUCCUUCUUUCUUGCUUCAAAAUUAACUAAGGGAUAAUAUUUAUUUUGCAAAACAUUUAUUUAUGAUUUUUAUUAAUUAUUUGGGGUGAUUUUGUUAUUUAAAAAAAAAUGUUUUUCAUGACUGUAUUAUGAGUUAAUUGAUUGUUUUAUUUUGAUGCUGUACAGACUGGAAGCUUGUAUGAGGUGAAAUGCAUUGUGACUCUAUUUCUCCUCUCGUCUCUGUUGAUGUACAGGAGUUGCUUUUAAACCUGCAAUAGCGUGAAUUAAUGACCAUACUAUAAAGAGACAGACUUCCAUUCAGGCAGCCAAAGCAUGAUUGCAUGGUAAACUAAUCUGUAAAAGCAGAUACAGUUACAGAAGUUGUCUCUCAAAUUUUAAAGGAAAAGUGUACUCUCUAAUCCUAAUUCUUAAAUUAUAUAUUCUGUUAUUUACUAUUAUUAUUAUUCUAUUUAUAAUUAACAUUAUUCUUAAGCUCUCUGCUGGUUGCUCUCGCAUUUUUCUGAUCUUUGUUUGGUCUCAUUGUGCUUUAUUUUACGAGGUGAACUUACUGGAGACCUUGUGCCAUAUAGUUUGUGCCAUGGCUCUCUGUCUCAUCACAGACACUGUAAGCAUGCCCCAUGGGACAAACCACUUUUUUUACUCUUGAAUAAAAUAUGCAUGAACCUUUG